GCCGCGUGAGAAAGGUGUAUUGCUCCGAGUUAACGUUCCUUACGAAUCAUGCAGUUUUCUUAUCUAAUGGAACAAGAUUUCAUUAUAAACGGUAUAAAGGGGGUUAAUCACAUUAGAAACCGUCAACCAAUCAUUGACCAGGACGGCGAACAGUACAGGCUUCCGGGCACCUUUGACCCGGUCAUGACGUCACGUUUCCCCAAAGUCACGUGUCAGACGUGAGAGGGCCAGACUACAUGAUGAGUAGAUGGAGAACCGUUUGGAAAUGAGAAGGGGCGGACAAAAGCUAACAAAGCUGGACUGGAUGCUAAUUUACAUUACGUACUGAAUGAUUGAUGUUCAGUACAGGUGCGUAAGUAAUUUUCAUUGUCAAUUGACGACCCCCCCCCCUCCCAUUAACUACAUGUAAGCAUUCAUAUACGAUUUUUUCCGGAAAAGUAUUACUUCUAUCAGUCCCGAUUCGCAUAUUUGGUAACAUAAUAUAUGUUGUGGAAGGAAAUCACGUGUAUAACGCGUCCGUAUGCACAAAAUGAAGAAUUGAGUUUCUUUACUACCGAGGGAUACAAAGGUUUUGCAUUUUAACGUGAAUAUCUUGUUCCAGCAAGGGGGUUUUGAUUAAAACUCUUUGGUGCCAGGGAAGCCGUGUAUGUUACGAAUGAUCACAAUUUGCACAGCUCGACUUGCCUAACGAUCACUAGAACAGUAAAUAUUGAAGUAACAGCUUACAUAACCUGUUUUUGUCAACAACCGAUGCCGUGUUGACCUUUGUCUCUCUGUGUGUUUCACGAUGUGACCAUGUGAAUUUACGCAAUGACGUACCACAGCGCUGUGAAAAGUAAACCUGGGCCAAAGGUUACAGAAUCCCGGCAUCCUGGAAACAUGCAUAUGACUGACCGUGUGCGGGAGAGUCUGUCGUGAGAAGACCUAAUGACGGACCUUGAUGGGUUGGUAGAACUUCAUUUUACCACUGCAUCAGCUACACCUUUGACCUCUAGUUGCUGUGAUUGACAUCUUCUUCCGGCAGUCUGACUUCCAAAACACCCAGGCGAUUGUCUGCACAUCAUGUUUGCUCAUAGGCUGUCUAAUAAGUUCGGCCCUGAUGGCCAACCAAAGCUGCCAUCUUACUCG